GUUAUUUUGGCAGAAUAGUGCAAUGGAUUUAGAAUCCUUUUAAGUAUAAAUAUACAAAUAAUA
rnacentral:tRNA from 1 species